GACUGGUCCGAGUGCAGUGGUGUUUACAACUAACUGAUCACAACCAGGUAGAUUUCUUUGCUCCUUCUCUACUCGCACUGCUUCAUCUGACUAGCCGGAA
rnacentral:Y_RNA from 1 species